rnacentral:rRNA from 1 species
GACGAACGCUGGCGGCGUGCUUAACACAUGCAAGUCGAACGGAAAGGCCCUGCUUGCAUGGUACCCGAGUGGCGAACGGGCGGGUAACUCGUGGGUGGUCUGCCCUGCUUUUCGGGGUAAGCCUGGUAAGCUGGGUCUAGUUACGGCCGGAUGAAAACUUUAGUGAGAAGGUUGGAGAGUUUUUUAGGUGUUUGCUUGGCUCACGGGCUAUCCGGCUGUUGGUGGGGUAAUGGGUUACGAAGGCGGCGACGGAUAGGCGGCCUCAGAGGUUGGACGGGCACCAUGGGACUGAGAGACGGCCCAGACUCCAACGGGAGGCAGCAGUGGGGAGUAUGGCACAGUGGGCGCAAGCCAGAUGCGGCGACGCCGCGUGGGUGAUGACGUGCUUCGGGUGGUGAACGCCUGUCGCUAGGGACGAAGCUUUUAGUGACGGUACCUAGAUAAGAAGCACCGGCUAACUACGUG